AGCAGCCGCGGUAAUUCCAGCUCCAAUAGCGUAUAUUAAAGUUGUUGCAGUUAAAAAGCUCGUAGUUGAAUUUCGGGAUCAAUUUGCUGGUCGUGCCUUCGGUACGCACUGGUAUUAUUGGUUUCUCCUUUCUGAUGAAUCGCGAUGUCAUUAAUUUGGUGUCGUGGGGAAUCAGGACUGUUACUUUGAAAAAAUUAGAGUGUUUAAAGCAGGCUCACGCUUGAAUACAUUAGCAUGGAAUAAUGAAAUAGGACGUUUGAUUCUAUUUUGUUGGUUUCUAGGAUCGACGUAAUGAUUAAUAGGGAUAGUUGGGGGCAUUAGUAUUCAAUUGUCAGAGGUGAAAUUCUUGGAUUUAUUGAAGACUAACUACUGCGAAAGCAUUUGCCAAGGAUGUUUUCAUUAAUCAAGAACGAAAGUUAGGGGAUCGAAGACGAUCAGAUACCGUCGUAGUCUUAACCAUAAACUAUGCCGACUAGGGAUCGGAUG
rnacentral:rRNA from 1 species